UACGUAGGGGGCAAGCGUUAUCCGGAUUUACUGGGUGUAAAGGGAGCGUAGACGGCUUUGCAAGUCUGAUGUGAAAACCCGCGGCUCAACUGCGGGAUUGCAUUGGAAACUGUAGUGCUUGAGUACUGGAGGGGUAAGCGGAAUUCCUGGUGUAGCGGUGAAAUGCGUAGAUAUCAGGAGGAACACCGGCGGCGAAGGCGGCUUACUGGACAGUAACUGACGUUGAGGCUCGAAAGCGUGGGGAG
rnacentral:rRNA from 1 species